rnacentral:rRNA from 1 species
AGGAAGGUAGUGUAGUUAACACCUGCAUUAUUUGACGUUACCUACAGAAGAAGCACCGGCUAACUCCGUGCCAGCAGACCGCGGUAAUACGGAGGGUGCGAGCGUUAAUCGGAAUUACUGGGCGUAAAGCGCAUGCAGGCGGCCUGUUAAGUCAGAUGUGAAAGACCCGGGGCGUUAACCUCGGAAUUGCAUUUGUAAACUGGCAGGCUAGAGUCUUGUAGAGGGGGGUAGGAAGUUUCAGGUGUAGCGGUGAAAUGCGUAGAGAUCUGAAGGAAUACCAGUGGCGAAGGCGGCCCCCUGGACAAAGACUGACGCUCAGAUGCGAAAGCGUGGGGAGCAAACAGGAUUAGAUACCCUGGUAG